GGAGAGAUGGCUCAGCGGUUAAGAGCACUGGCUGCUCUUCCAGAGGACCUGGGUUCAAAUCCCAGCACCC
rfam:Mesocricetus auratus contig072376, whole genome shotgun sequence.